UACGAAGGGGGCUAGCGUUGCUCGGAAUCACUGGGCGUAAAGCGCACGUAGGCGGCUUUUUAAGUCAGAGGUGAAAUCCUGGAGCUCAACUCCAGAACUGCCUUUGAUACUGGAGAGCUUGAGUCCGGGAGAGGUGAGUGGAACUGCGAGUGUAGAGGUGAAAUUCGUAGAUAUUCGCAAGAACACCAGUGGCGAAGGCGGCUCACUGGCCCGGUACUGACGCUGAGGUACGAAAGCGUGGGGAGCAAACAGG
rnacentral:rRNA from 1 species